UUCAGCGUUGAGCGGUUUUAGCGGCUUCUUCGCAAAAUUUAGCGGAUUCUACCGGAAUCGGUUGGCUACUUUGGCGGAUCAUUCGUCUAGAAUGUUGGCAACACUGCAAAGCCAAGCCCUCCUUCCAUAAACAAGAAUCUGUGUGCGGAAAACAUGGCGGGAAAGUUGUGCAUCUGUGUUACAGAAAACUUGUGCAAGCUCGCAUUAGCCUGAGUCUGGGCACACAGAGGGACGACAGGAACACACGACUCGCUUUGUUCUUGCAUUUUUUCACGGAUGCCAAUUAGUCACGGAAGGGCUCGAAGGAUGCCACGUAUCAUCUUUGAAGCGACCACACGGAACAGCGGCAGCGGGCGGGGAGCCGUCGAGCGACGGGCUGAGAUCCAGGACACGCCGCGCUGAUUAGCCAGCGAUGCUUGCAGAAGCAUCUGUUCCCUCGCUCGCAUCAACUUCAUGGACGGAUCGACGACCUUGGAGAAGCUUCUCUACUUCCUCUACUUCACCGACGCGCGCUUUCUACAAUGUUCGCCGACUGGGUCAUUCCACGUCAAACGUCCGAGUAAAAAAUUU